AACGAACGCUGGCGGCAUGCCUAACACAUGCAAGUCGAACGAUGCUUUCGGGCAUAGUGGCGCACGGGUGCGUAACGCGUGGGAAUCUGCCCUUGGGUUCGGAAUAACAGUUGGAAACGACUGCUAAUACCGGAUGAAGACGAAAGUCCAAAGAUUUAUCGCCUGAGGAUGAGCCCGCGUAAGAUUAGGCAGUUGGUGGGGUAAAGGCCUCCCAAUCCGACGAGCUUUAGGUGGUCUGAUAGGAGGAACAGCCACACUGGCACUGAGACACGGCCCAGAGUCCUACGGGGAGCAGCAGUGGGGAAUAUUGGACAAUGGGCGAAAGCCGGAUCCAGCAAUGCCGCGUGAGUGAUGAAGGCCUUAGGGUUGUAAAGCUCUUUUACCCGGGAUGAUAAUGACAGUACCGGGGGAAUAAGCCCCGGCUAACUCCGUGCCAGCCGCCGCCGUAA
rnacentral:rRNA from 1 species